CACGUAGGGUGCGAGCGUUGUCCGGAAUUAUUGGGCGUAAAGAGCUCGUAGGCGGUGUGUCGCGUCGGCCGUGAAAACCUGCAGCUUAACUGUGGGCUUGCGGUCGAUACGGGCAUCACUGGAGUUCGGCAGGGGAGACUGGAAUUCCUGGUGUAGCGGUGAAAUGCGCAGAUAUCAGGAGGAACACCGGUGGCGAAGGCGGGUCUCUGGGCCGAUAUUGACGCUGAGGAGCGAAAGCGUGGGGAGCAAACAGG
rnacentral:rRNA from 1 species